UAAUACCCCAUAUGUCUACGGAUGAAAGGUUAAUUCCGCCUGAGGAUGAGCUCGCGUCUGAUUAACUAGUUGGUGGGGUAAGGGCCUACCAAGGCGACGAUCAGUAGCUGGUCUGAGAGGAUGAUCAACCACACUGGGACUGAGACACGGCCCAGACUCCUACGGGAGGCAGCAGUGGGGAAUUUUCCGCAAUGGGCGAAAGCCUGACGGAGCAACGCCGCGUGCGGGAGGAAGGCCUUUGGGUUGUAAACCGCUUUUCUCAGGGAAGAAGGAAGUGACGGUACCUGAGGAAUAAGCAUCGGCUAACUCCGUGCCAGCAGCCGCGGUAAUACGGAGGAUGCAAGCGUUAUCCGGAAUUAUUGGGCGUAAAGCGUCCGCAGGCGGUUUAUCAAGUCUGCUGUCAAAGGCUGCAGCUCAACUGCGGAUCGGCAGUGGAAACUGAUGA
rnacentral:rRNA from 1 species